rnacentral:misc_RNA from 1 species
AACGCACAUGGCGCCCCCCGGUAUCCCGGGGGGCAUGCCUGUUCGAGCGUCGGUUGGAUCCCCUCGGGUGCCCCGGCUUCGCGGCUGGGGCCCCCGGUCUUGGGCGCUCCCCCGGUUCCCCGGGGGCACCCGCAACACGUUGGCGGCCGCGGCCGGCCCCCCGACAUGACAUGACCCGUCGGCGUCCGGGCUCCGCCGCGUGCCGGCUCCCAGCCCCGUCACACCCCAACGUUCCGACCUCGGAUCAGGUAGGGAUACCCGCCGAACUUAA